AUUUUCCCCUCUCGAAUCUGCCUUUUCGAGAAACUGAGAAAAUGCCUCUUAAGUUGCUGGAUGCGACUGUAUCAACCUUCGACGGUGUGUUUGAGAAGUUCAGAUCGGAGGCACCCAAAAACAAAGCCAAUUUAAUCCUAUUCUUGGCUGAUAAGGACCCGUCUACCAACCUCAGUUGGUGCCCUGACUGUGUGAGAGCUGAACCUGUAAUUUACAAGAAGCUGGAAGCAUCGUCAGAUGACAUUGCACUCCUGCGAGCUUAUGUUGGAGAUAGACCAACCUGGAGAAAUCCCCAGCAUCCAUGGAGAGUGGACUCGAGGUUCAAGCUCACUGGCGUUCCUACACUGGUCAGCUGGGAGAAUGAUGCAAUCAAAGGUCGCCUUGAGGACAAUGAAGCCGACCUCGAGCACAAAAUUGAUGCCCUUGUUUCUAGUAAAUAAGUCUUUUUCCCAUUAGAUGGUUGGGAAUCUUAUAUAUUGUAGUACUUUAAGCAUUUGCUUAUUUCUCAAGCAAAGCUUGUUAAUAAUGUUCAACUUUAAGCUUUAAGGAUCUAUGGAAGUGAUGUAUUACAAUGAAUUAUAGCUAAUUGGCUUGUGAAGAUGUUGGUAGUAUUAUAAUGAUAUGGAAGUACAAAAUGAAAUCACUU
rnacentral:misc_RNA from 1 species